rnacentral:rRNA from 1 species
UACGUAGGGGGCAAGCGUUGUCCGGAAUCAUUGGGCGUAAAGAGCGUGUAGGCGGCCAGAUAAGUCCGCUGUGAAAUCUCGAGGCUCAACUUCGAGCUGUCGGUGGAAACUGUCUGGCUAGAGUCCGGAAGAGGAGAAUGGAAUUCCUGGUGUAGCGGUGAAAUGCGCAGAUAUCAGGAAGAACACCGGUGGCGAAGGCGGCUACCUGGACAGGUACUGACACUGAGGCGCGAAAGCCAGGGGAGCAAACGGG